UCAAAGUCCGUAGAACUGUACACCACAAAGAGUGCACGUAGCAUUGAGCGAAGAAGUUUAUGGAUUUUAAUUCCAUUUAGCCAUUUUACUGGAAUUUUGGGAAAUAAGUGGACACAAUGCCACUUUUAUCUGCUAUGUUUGCUUGAAGACAACACCAUGCUAUUUUACUGGGCCUCCAUUUUCUCCUCCUUAAUGUGGGGGUUAAUGGCACUAUGGUGAAAUGAACUCAGGACCACAGCCAGGUGUGGAGGAGACAGGACAAGAUGAGAAGGUAAACGUACCUAGUUUGGAUUCCCGGCUCCACUGCAUACUGCCUAGGUGAGUUUGAGC
rnacentral:lncRNA from 1 species